rfam:Stomoxys calcitrans breed 8C7A2A5H3J4 unplaced genomic scaffold Scaffold367, whole genome shotgun sequence.
CUAACAGCCCUUUUCAGGGCUACAAAAAAAUUUUUAAAAAGAGACC